AACCAUCGAUCUCUUUUCUCAAACACAAAGUCAAUCUGGUUAGACCUCCUACCUAUCGAUACCCCUUCCCCCACCCUUCGUACGUUAAAAAAAAUCUCUAUUAUUAAAGGAGAAUCGAAUGUCGUGAUGGUUCGACCUCCUACCUAUCGAUACCCUUUCCCCCACCCUUCGUACGUUAAAAAAAAAAUCAGAAAAACUACCCACCGCUUCGAAAAAACAGCGCAGAGAAAGGAAAGAAAAACAGAGCCCACGACCCACCGACGAACACACGUCCCAUCCUCCAUCUCCCCUCACCCCAAAGAAAAGAGAAACAGCCCAACCAAUCUCUCCGCUCUCGAGAAAUUCGCCGCCGCUGCUCCCCUCAUCGUCCUCUCCUGGUCGUCGUGGUUGCGGUCCUGGCCGUGGACGUCGCCGCCGGCCCCGCACUCCCAUCUGCAUGAGGAUCAUCUAUUCUCCGUCUCAAUUCCCUCCACCCCGCUCGAUUCCAAUCUAAUCUCUCCCGAGAAACUUCACUCGACUCGGCCGUGGCGAAGAUGGCCGGCGGCUCGCCGUCUGGCUUUCUCGCUGUUGAGCCCUGUUCCGCCUCCGCCCUCCACCCACUUGGCUCCAAGACGUCUUCCGCGGCCGUCAGCUUCCACGAUUUGGGUUUGUGGCAGGCGUGAACUAUGCGAGGAGGGUCCGGGGUGUGCGUCCUCUAUGUGAAUUCGACGGGUCGUCUUCAUCGCAGGCGGCCAUGGGGAGGACACAUGUGGCGGAGCAGAUGGGGUACGAGGACGCGUAGAAGGCAAACAGCUCAGACUUAAGCCCUUUGCCCCCGUCAGGACUCUGUCACAGGUGCGUGCAUCUCGAUCCUUUCCUUCGUUCUGGUCGGUUAAUUAAGUGCCCGUGAACCAAUAUUCCUCUUGGCGCGCUUUCGGCCGAUGGCAAAACGAACACAGAGCAAACCUGGCUUGUCUUGGGAUGGACUGAAUCAGCUAACAACGUAGCUAGCUAGCUUUGCCUUGAGAUGGAUCCAGUCGAUGGAUUGAUUGGUCGACUAGCAGGUGGAUUCUGUUGAUGGACUAGCUAGCAACACACACGCACACACUGGCAUGUAACGCUAUUUGCUGUUUAUACUUCUUCAACUCACGUUGAUACAACCUAGGAGCUACAUGUAUCACCUGGCUAGGUAGAGUUACGAUUACUGCUCAAAGAAAAGUAGACUUAUGAUUUCUAUACUACUUUGACAAGCAAUCGUUGGUGAACUCUAACAAUCUGCUCAAAGAAAAGUAGUAGUUCCUUUUAUUGUCCCAGUUGUUAUUUCUACCUUGCUCUGAUGUAUAAGAUACUCCAUAUAGGAGGUCAAGCUUGAAAAAUGUAUAAUACCCGACUUGUCGAGAAUCAUGUUAAUAAAGCUGUCAUGAUAUUUUCCCUGCUUCAAAGUGCUCCCUGAGGUAUUAGUUAACGGUAGUCUGUAUUGAUUUUUUUGUACAGAAUUUGACCAUUUGUGCAGGCUUUGGUUCGUGAUGGAUCGACCUUAAAGUCUUAAUGAUUACCCUUUCCAACAAGCAACAGUGGGGUUGUUCUGCUCAAUCCUGCUAUUUUUUUAGUCCAUUAAUUUGUAUGUGUUCUUCGCCUAAGAGAUUUUAUUAAUUUCGGUUGGGUUCUAAUUAGAGAUGCAUAUAAAUAACUUUGUUCUGGUUUUCAUAAAAGUAAUAUGGCACACACCUAGAAGGUUAUUGAUUAUACGCUGCAACCCAUUUUAUUAAGUUGGGUUUUCUUGACACCAUUUUCUAUUGCAGGCUACUGAAUAUAUACAGUUCUUGCAAGAGAACGAACAUAAGUGUAUUUGGGUGAGGCACCAGAUACAACAUCUCACUUUUCGUUUUGGAAAUUAUCUUUAUUUAACUCCAAGAGGUCACCAGCUGAAGGUUGUGUUUGGCAAUGGAAUAGUAAUUUGGCUGCUGAGGUAUCAAGGUAAGGACAAAAAUAUUUCCCAUUUUUAUUUAUUUCUAUGGUUGUCAUAGUCUAUUUUAAGCCCGUAUUAUUUUUGGUGAUUGCGAAAUGUAUUCAACUGCAUGAAGAAAUAGAAGAUAAAUCUUGUUUCAAACUUUGAGUGUAUACUGAAGUUACAUGAAGCCUUCGGCACUCCUUUUUAGUUAUUGCUGAUUUAGUUAAAGUACUAAAUCAACGACAACUAAUAUCAAACAGAGGGAGUAUAUUAUGACCUCCUCUUAACUUGCCUUUAGUAACAAACAUGAUAGUACCAAAAUUAGUUCUAGGAGGAUAGUACUAAAACUCUCGUGCCAUUGAAAAACUAUUGAGAAAUUUUAAUUUAUUGCAUAGUGCAGGCGGAAAAAGUUUAAUUCACCCCGAGAAGAGCCCUUCGAGAACAAUUGUUUUGGACUUUUGUGGUACUCUCAAGUGAGGGGUCUUUUGUGGUCUUGCUAAUAUAGAUAAACCAUAACCAUAUUUAUAUGAUUCUCAACAUCCUUGGAGCGAAAGACAGUAACUGCAUAAUGAAGUUUAAAUCAUAUUCAUUUGUUUGUUUCAGUGAUGAGUUUUUCUUUUGUUUGCUUCUUUGACCAGUUUGUAACCAGUCUUCUGGAUCAGAGUAACUGAAAGUUGAUGUGUAAUAUUAGGGCUGUGAUUGCAGUGUAUCAAAUGGGCUAAUUUUUAUAUUUGACUCAUCACAUAUAGAAUUUGUAUUUUUUUAAAUCAGGAACAAAUAUAGUUUAAGUAUUUUGAAGUGAGAUGUGCUUUUUCAGUUGUUUGCCACAUGGUUUGUUUCAAGAUGGGAUAAUAAAUUGGUAAAAAUCACUUUCCUUUGUUGGUACCAAUACCAAUGCCACCAAGUGCAGUCAUAUUGACGACAGUCAAAUAGCCUUGCAGAAUGGACAAUGUUCAAAGAUAGCAAUCAUUAUGUUGUGUCUAGAUAUGAGUGGAAAACGUGCUACGUGUGUACUGCUACUACACCGGCCCAAGUACUUAUGUACAGUUCCUCCUGAAUUCAGACACUAAGAAGCUAAGCUUUUGGAAAUGAAUCUACUUAUCCAAGAGGCUGGCAACAAGAUCGGAUGUUCAAUAACUAGUGGAGCAACACUCGAUUGACAGGAAACUAUGAGCAUGCUACCUACUUUCUAAUUUUCUUGCAUGCAGCGAAUUGACUUCCCAAAGAACUACAUGGAAGGGAUAUAUGUUUGAUUUGUUUUGAAUUGAUUGCAAGAAAUACAUGUAUGGCACAUACAACUCUAUUCUCAAAACAUAUAUGAAUGAAAAUUUAUUUGAUUUUUUUUAGCAA